AAAGCCCCGCAAGGGGUAAGUAGAGUGGCAAACGGGUGAGUNACACGUGGGUGACCUGCCUUCGAGUGGGGGAUAACGUCCCGAAAGGGACGCUAAUACCGCAUAACAUCCUGCCUUUGAAGAGGUGGAGAUCAAAGCUGGGGACCGCAAGGCCCAGCGCUCAAAGAGGGGCCCGCGCCUGAUUAGCUAGUUGGUGGGGUAAUGGCUCACCAAGGCAACGAUCAGUAUCCGGCCUGAGAGGGCGGACGGACACACUGGGACUGAGACACGGCCCAGACUCCUACGGGAGGCAGCAGUGGGGAAUUGUUCGCAAUGGGCGCAAGCCUGACGACGCAACGCCGCGUGGAGGAUGAAGACCUUCGGGUCGUAAACUCCUUUCGAUCGAGACGAACAGCUUCCGGGUAAACAAUCCGGAGGUUUGACGGUACCGAGAGAAGAAGCCCCGGCAAACUCCGUGCCAGCAGCCGCGGUAAUACGGGGGGGGCAAGCGUUGUUCGGAAUUACUGGGCGUAAAGGGCUCGUAGGUGGCCAACUAAGUCAGACGUGAAAUCCCUCGGCUUAACCGGGGAACUGCGUCUGAUACUGGAUGGCUUGAGUUCGGGAGAGGGAUGCGGAAUUCCAGGUGUAGCGGUGAAAUGCGUAGAUAUCUGGAGGAACACCGGUGGCGAAGGCGGCAUCCUGGACCGACACUGACACUGAGGAGCGAAAGCCAGGGGAGCAAACGGGAUUAGAUACCCCGGUAGUCCUGGCCCUAAACGAUGAAUGCUUGGUGUGGUGGGUAUCGAUCCCUGCCGUGCCGAAGCUAACGCAUUAAGCAUUCCGCCUGGGGAGUACGGUCGC
rnacentral:rRNA from 1 species